CUCACCCUUGCUAUAUCAUGAUAAAACAUUGCAGAUAAGGCGAAUACGGCCAGUUACAGGAAAAAGAAAAUGCCAAGUUCAGCUUGGGAUAAAAUGUACAGCUUGGGAUAAAAUGUACAGCUAAUUUGUAAAAGUAUAGUUGAAGAAUAGUAUUGUUAUGUGUUAGAUAGUUUUUGAAUUGUGUAUAAGUUAAGGUUACUCGACCUUGGGGAAUAGUGUGUAAUGUAAUGUAUAAACAAUUUAUGUUUAUAUCUUCCGCAAAAAGUUAUAGAAAGAUUAGCAAACCGGAUCCGCGGCGAUUUGGGGCCCGGAUUCGAGGACGCUACAUGAAGGAUAGGGAAAUAUUUAUUUUAUGUGAUUAUAAAUGAAGGAAUUAAUGCUGAGGUGUUUUAUCGGUAUUUUGUCGGAAUUGAGGUAUUAAAAAUCAAUCGUUUGUGGAUUUCGGAUAUUUUUGGUUUCUAAUUUUGAAAAACUUAAAGCUACAAAGUUGUAGAGAAUUCGAUUUCGUAUGGAAUGGACAUAAAAUUCGUAAUUUUCUGAUAAAAGGGCUAUUUAUUAUGAAUUAUUGAAGUUUCUGAUUAUUGUUUAAAAUGAUAAAACAUUUUGGAAAUUUCUAGAAUUGGUGGGCCCCACUUUUGGUUGGUAAAAAAUGUGCUCAAAAUUUAUUUCAAAUGUGGUGGGUGGCAAUAGUAGCAGGUAAAGCCAUCAAGUAGCAGGUCAAGUCUGCUUCGGCGUGCUUGCAUUUUCCUAUAAAUAGGUGCUUAGGUUAGAAUUGAAAAUCACACCAGAAACAUAAGCUUUCUCUCUCUAUAUUAUCGAGCGUAUUUUGUGAGUAUUUAGAUACUUUGAGAAUUGCUAUUCAGUACAAGUUUCCUUCAGCAUCAAAUCCGAUAUUCCAUUCCGAAGUACUGUUUCUUUAAGGUAAGGGAUGUUAUUUUCUUCUUAAAUGAUAUUAUUUUCUUCAAUAUCAUUAUGCCGAAUUAUUUAUAUAAGUUUUAUUGUGGAAUUUCUACCUUUUUAUGUCGGGGUUACUAUUCACGUAUACGGCACUAUUCACAAAUACGGCACUAUUCACCAAAAAAUGAAAUUUUCUCUUUUUCGUCCCCAGAUGACUAUUAUGGUUACUAUCUUUGAUUGUAUCCAUGUUUUAAUCUUUAUUUUUGAAUUCUACUUCAAAAUUGGUUAUUAUGGAGUAUUAUUGAAUUUGGAUAAACCGAAAUAUGAAUCCCUAAUAUUUGUCCUUCUGUCUCACUAGAUUCGUUUUCUCUAAAAUGUUUUUCAUCAUCCUCGGUCCUUAAUGGUGUUACUUGAUGAAUAUCUUUGGCCUGUAGUGCAAAGAUGUAUGAUUACUUGAUGAAUAUCUUUG
rnacentral:lncRNA from 1 species